UUGCCACUCAUGAAAGUAAGAGCUGUCUAUCUGAACAUGCCUUUCCUUCUGGUUAUCAGUCACCCACAGUUCAGGGCUUCUCUCUUCCGUGGAGAGAAGCAAGCAAGACAGUGUGAAGAUGGCUAGCAAAACGUCCCUGCACAUGCUUCUACUUUUGGCCGUAUGGCAGACCAUACCCUCUGAAAGGCCUUCUUGCAGGGGAAUAACUAGAUCUUUCACAAAACAGAAUUCUGUGGCAUUGCUGAAGUUGCAGUGGUUAAUGGAAACCGGGGUGUGAGUGUGUAUGAGUGUGUCUGCACAUGAGAAACAGAACCCUGAAAAUACAGCAAAGGAAGUAAGCCAGCUCCAAAGGCAGGCCUGCUCUGGGUGGAGACGCAGUGUUCGCAGGCAGGCCGGGGCCCAACCUGAGACUCCUGGAUCAAGCUGAGCUAAAAAUGGCCCCAACCUGGUAUGAUCCUGUGGUUCCCAAGAGCAACAAAUGCAAAUCUUCCCGGAAGGAAAGCGCUCUCGAUUUAUGCUCACUAUGCGUGUGCACGUGUGUGCAUAUGCAUGCCUGAGCAAGGACCUUGAGAACAGUUCUGUAGAUCAGAGAGGGGACCCUGAGCUCUGCUGGAUGGAGUGAAGCAGGGUAUCUGGUAAAGCAACUGUGGGAAGAACUGGCAAGAGCCAGGCUGUCAGAGAACAGCGUCAUGGGGAGGUUGUGUGAGUCCGCGGGUGAAUCAGAGAGGGUCUGGACAUGCGUUUGGCAGGGAAAAUGGACAAAGAUUACAUCUUAGAGAGGCCGCCAAGAAAAAAGAAUGGAAUGACUGGAAAAUUAAAGGUAAAGAAUUAAUAUUACUCCAAGAUAUUUGCUGCCCGGACCAUAAAAUGGUGUAACUACUGUGGCACUAUCCUGCAAAAUGAACAUCUGGAACUUCCAUCACCUAGCAAAUUGUCUCCUAAAUGUGUAUGAAAUUCUCCCUGUGUGCCAGGAGCUCAGUCCAGGAUGUCCACAACAAUACUGUUUAUAGUGGCAAAAAAAUGAAAAUGCCCACGAGCAACAGAAUGUUCACUGCCUGCUAUUUAUAACAGCAGAAAAAGGCAACUUAAAAAUUAAGUUAAUUAUCUACUAUUAGAAAACUGGUGAAAUAGGCCAGGUGUGGUGGCUCAUGCCUGUAAUCCCAGCACUUUGGGAGGCCAAGGUGGGUGGAUCAUGAGGUCAGGAGAUCGAGACCAUCCGGACUAAUGCGAUGAAACCCUGUCUCUACUAAAAAUACAAAAAUUAGCUGGGCAUAGUGGCAUGUGCCUGUAAUCCCAGCUACUCAGGAGGCUGAGGCAGGAGAAUCGUUUGAACCCGGGAGGCAGAGGUUGCAGUGAGCCAAGAUUGCGCCACCGCACUCCAGCCUGGGUGACAGAGCAACACUCUGUCUCAAAAAAAAAAAAAGAAAAUUGGUGAAAUAAGAUACAGUACAUCCAUACAAUGGAAUAAUAUGUGCCUAUCAUACAACUAGUAUAAAUGCAUAUUUA
rnacentral:lncRNA from 10 species